ACCUAGGCACCUAUCGAAGCCGUUCCUGUCUUCUUGUAGCAGACACGGUCAACAGGAUGCCAAAAACAUUACUUUCACCGACGGUCGCUGUCCAGUUCGAAAGUAACUGAGGCAGCAACAUUAAGGGGAAGGACAUUC
ensembl:snoRNA